CACCGCGGUUAUACGAGAGGCCCAAGUUGAUAGCAACCGGCAUAAAAAGUGGAUUAAACAAAACACUAGAGCCAAACAUUUUCAGAGCAGUUAUAUGCCCAUGAAAACAGGAGGCCCUAUCACGAAAGUAGCUCUAAAAAUUUAUACCACGAAAGCUAGGGCA
rnacentral:rRNA from 1 species